rnacentral:rRNA from 1 species
UACGGGGGGGGCAAGCGUUGUUCGGAAUUACUGGGCGUAAAGGGCGCGUAGGCGGCCUUCUAAGUCGGACGUGAAAUCCCUCGUCUUAACCGAGGAACUGCGUCCGAUACUGAAAGGCUUGAAUCCGGGAGAGGGAUGUGGAAUUCCAGGUGUAGCGGUGAAAUGCGUAGAUAUCUGGAGGAACACCGGUGGCGAAGGCGGCAUCCUGGACCGGCAUUGACGCUGAGGCGCGAAAGCUAGGGGAGCAAACGGG